UAUAUAACUCAAAUUUUUAGCAAGGAAUUGGGCAACAUAUAUAUGAACAAAAUGAAUUAAACACAACUGGAUGUUUGUCACAACAGCAUGUAAUUGCAGUGGAUGAAUUAAAUUCUCAAGCAAGUACAUCUAAGGAAUACCCUUUACAAUUGAAAGGAAACGUAUUUUCUUCAACAACACAUAACAUUAAAUGGGAUCACUCAUAUGCGUCAUCAAGCACACAGCAGGUGAUUUACCGAUUGAAUAACUUAAUUAUUAAAUGUUGUAAUAUUAUGUAAUUGUAACUACAAUU